rnacentral:rRNA from 1 species
GUCUGAUGUGAAAGCCCCCCGGCUCAACCGGGGAGGGUCAUUGGAAACUGGGGAGACUUGAGUGCAGAAGAGGAGAGUGGAAUUUCCACGUGUAGCGGUGAAAUGCGUAGAGAUAUGGAGGAACACCAGUGGCGAAGGCGACUCUCUGGUCUGUAACUGACGCUGAGGAGCGAAAGCGUGGGGAGCGAACAGGAUUAGAUACCCUGGUAGUCCACGCCGUAAACGAUGAGUGCUAAGUGUUAGGAGGGUUUCCGCCCCUUAGUGCUGCAGCUAACGCAUUAAGCACUCCGCCUGGGGAGUACGGCCGCAAGACUGAAACUCAAAGGAAUUGACGGGGGCCCGCACAAGCGGUGGAGCAUGUGGUUUAAUUCGAAGCAACGCGAAGAACCUUACCAGGUCUUGACAUCCUCUGACAAUCCUAGAGAUAGGACGUCCCCUUCGGGGAGCAGAGUGACAGGUGGUGCAUGGUUGUCGUCAGCUCGUGUCGUGAGAUGUUGGGUUAAGUCCCGCAACGAGCGCAACCCUUGAUCUUAGUUGCCAGCAUUCAGUUGGGCACUCUAAGGUGACUGCCGGUGACAAACCGGAGGAAGGUGGGGAUGACGUCAAAUCAUCAUGCCCCUUAUGACCUGGGCUACACACGUGCUACAAUGGACAGAACAAAGGGCAGCGAAACCGCGAGGUUAGAGCCUAAUCCUCACAAAUCUGUUCUCAGUUCGGAUCUGCAGUCUGCAACUCGCCUGACGAUGAAGCUGGAAUCGCUAGUAAUCGCGGAUCAGCAUGCCGCCGGUGAAUACGUUCCCGGGGCCCU